rnacentral:tRNA from 1 species
CACGCGCGUGCCUCAGGGAGAGGGGCUCGCCUUCCGCGCGCGCAUGGUGGGGACCGGGCUCGGCGCCGGCGUGCGCGA